UGGAUUUUGUAGUGAGUGGCCGAACCGGGUGAAGUAACACGUGGGGUAACCUGCCCAUCAGUUGGGGAUAACUAUUGGAAACGAUAGCUAAUACCGAAUAUGAUAUUAAGUCGCAUGGCUAAAUAUUAAAAGGGGCGUUUGCCUCGCUGAUGGAUGGACCCGCGCUGCAUUAGCUAGUUGGUGAGGUAAAGGCUCACCAAGGCGACGAUGCAUAGCCGGGCUGAGAGGCUGAACGGCCACAUUGGAACUGAGACACGGUCCAAACACCUACGGGUGGCAGCAGUAGGGAAUUUUUCGCAAUGGACGAAAGUCUGACGGAGCAAUGCCGCGUGAAGGAUGAAGGUUUUCGGAUCGUAAACUUCUGUUGUAAGGGAAGAACACUAAGGGUAGGAAAUGGCUCUUAGCUGACGGUACCUUACCAGAAAGCCACGGCUAACUACGUGCCAGCAGCCGCGGUAAUACGUAGGUGGCGAGCGUUAUCCGGAAUUAUUGGGCGUAAAGAGCAUGUAGGUGGUUUCUUAAGUCUGAUGUGAAAGCUAGUGGCCUAACCACUAAACUGCAUUGGAAACUGAGGAACUAGAAUAUUGGAGAGGUAAGUGGAAUUCCAUGUGUAGCGGUGGAAUGCGUAGAUAUAUGGAGGAACACCAACGGCGAAGGCAGCUUACUGGACAAUUAUUGACACUGAGAUGCGAAAGCGUGGGUAGCAAACAGGAUUAGAUACCCUGGUAGUCCACGCCGUAAACGAUGAGUGCUAGAUGUCGGGAUAACUCGGCGUCGAAGCUAACGCAUUAAGCACUCCGCCUGGG
rnacentral:rRNA from 1 species